CGCUAGCUACAGGCUUAACACAUGCAAGUCGAGGGGCAGCAUGGUCUUAGCUUGCUAAGGCCGAUGGCGACCGGCGCACGGGUGAGUAACACGUAUCCAACCUGCCGUCUACUCUUGGACAGCCUUCUGAAAGGAAGAUUAAUACAAGAUGGCAUCAUGAGUCCGCAUGUUCACAUGAUUAAAGGUAUUCCGGUAGACGAUGGGGAUGCGUUCCAUUAGAUAGUAGGCGGGGUAACGGCCCACCUAGUCUUCGAUGGAUAGGGGUUCUGAGAGGAAGGUCCCCCACAUUGGAACUGAGACACGGUCCAAACUCCUACGGGAGGCAGCAGUGAGGAAUAUUGGUCAAUGGGCGAGAGCCUGAACCAGCCAAGUAGCGUGAAGGAUGACUGCCCUAUGGGUUGUAAACUUCUUUUAUAAAGGAAUAAAGUCGGGUAUGCAUACCCGUUUGCAUGUACUUUAUGAAUAAGGAUCGACUAACUCCGUGCCAGCAGCCGCGGUAAUACGGAGGAUCCGAGCGUUAUCCGGAUUUAUUGGGUUUAAAGGGAGCGUAGAUGGAUGUUUAAGUCAGUUGUGAAAGUUUGCGGCUCAACCGUAAAAUUGCAGUUGAUACUGGAUAUCUUGAGUGCAGUUGAGGCAGGCGGAAUUCGUGGUGUAGCGGUGAAAUGCUUAGAUAUCACGAAGAACUCCGAUUGCGAAGGCAGCCUGCUAAGCUGCAACUGACAUUGAGGCUCGAAAGUGUGGGUAUCAAACAGGAUUAGAUACCCUGGUAGUCCACACGGUAAACGAUGAAUACUCGCUGUUUGCGAUAUACGGCAAGCGGCCAAGCGAAAGCGUUAAGUAUUCCACCUGGGGAGUACGCCGGCAACGGUGAAACUCAAAGGAAUUGACGGGGGCCCGCACAAGCGGAGGAACAUGUGGUUUAAUUCGAUGAUACGCGAGGAACCUUACCCGGGCUUAAAUUGCAGAUGAAUUACGGUGAAAGCCGUAAGCCGCAAGGCAUCUGUGAAGGUGCUGCAUGGUUGUCGUCAGCUCGUGCCGUGAGGUGUCGGCUUAAGUGCCAUAACGAGCGCAACCCUUGUUGUCAGUUACUAACAGGUUCCGCUGAGGACUCUGACAAGACUGCCAUCGUAAGAUGUGAGGAAGGUGGGGAUGACGUCAAAUCAGCACGGCCCUUACGUCCGGGGCUACACACGUGUUACAAUGGGGGGUACAGAGGGCCGCUACCACGCGAGUGGAUGCCAAUCCCAAAAACCUCUCUCAGUUCGGACUGGAGUCUGCAACCCGACUCCACGAAGCUGGAUUCGCUAGUAAUCGCGCAUCAGCCACGGCGCGGUGAAUACGUUCCCGGGCCUUGUACACACCGCCCGUCAAGCCAUGGGAGCCGGGGGUACCUGAAGUGCGUAACCGCGAGGAGCGCCCUAGGGUAAAACUGG
rnacentral:rRNA from 1 species